GGAGUCUGGACCGUGUCUCAGUUCCAAUGUGACCGUUCAUCCUCUCAGACCGGUUACCGAUCGUCGGCUUGGUAGGCCGUUACCUUACCAACUACCUAAUCGGACGCAAACCCCUUUCAAAGCGAUAAAUCUUUAAUAAAUCCAUCAUGCGAUAAAUUUAUAACAUUCGGUAUUAGCAACCCUUUCGAGUCUGUUGUCCCCAUCUUUGAGGCAGGUUAUUUGCGCUUUACUCACCCGUUCGCCACUGGGUACAAGUACCCCGUUCGACUUGCAUGUGUUAAGCACGCCGCCAGCGUUCGUCUCGAGCCAGGAGUCAAACUCU
rnacentral:rRNA from 1 species